rnacentral:rRNA from 1 species
UACGUAGGGGGCGAGCGUUGUCCGGAUUUAUUGGGCGUAAAGAGCUCGUAGGCGGUUUGGUAAGUUGGAUGUGAAAUCUCCAGGCUCAACUUGGAGGGGUCAUUCGAUACUGCCAUGACUAGAGUUCGGUAGGGGAGUGUGGAAUUCCUGGUGGAGCGGUGAAAUGCGCAGAUAUCAGGAGGAACACCCGUAGCGAAAGCGGCUUCCUGGACCAGAACUGACGAUCAGGCACGAAAGCGUGGGGAGCAAACAGG